rnacentral:rRNA from 1 species
CCUACGGGAGGCAGCAGUAGGGAAUAUUGCUCAAUGGGGGCAACCCUGACGCAGCAACGCCGCGUGGAGGAUGAAGGUUUUAGGAUUGUAAACUCCUUUUGUUAGAGAAGAUCAUGACGGUAUCUAACGAAUAAGCACCGGCUAACUCCGUGCCAGCAGCCGCGGGAAUACGGGGGGUGCAAGCGCUACUUGGAUUCACUGGGCGUAAAGAGUGCGUAGGCGGGGUAAUAAGUCAGAUGUGAAAUCCUGUAGCUAAACUCCAGAACUGCAUUUGAAACUGUUACUUUGGAGUGUAGGAGAGGUAGGUGGAAUUCUUGGUGUAGGGGUGAAAUGCGUAGAGAUAAGGAGGAAUACUAGUGGCGAAGGCGACCUGCUGGAACAUUACUGACGCUGAUGCGCGAAAGCGUGGGGAGCAAACAGGAUUAGAUACCCGUGUAGUC